CAAAAGCGUAUAUUAAAGUUGUUGCAGUUAAAAAGCUCGUAGUUGAACCUUGGGCUUGGCUGGCCGGUCCAUCUUUUUUGAUGCGUACUGGACCCAGCCGAGCCUUUCCUUCUGGCUAGCCUUUUGGCGAACCAGGACUUUUACUUUGAAAAAAUUAGAGUGUUCAAAGCAGGCCUUUGCUCGAAUAUAUUAGCAUGAAAUAAUAGAAUAGGACGUUAUGGUUCUAUUUUGUUGGUUUCUAGGACCAUCGUAAUGAUUAAUAGGGACGGUCGGGGGUAUCAGUAUUCAGUUGUCAGAGGUGAAAUUCUUGGAUUUACUGAAGACUAACUACUGCGAAAGCAUUUACCAAGGACGUUUUCAUUAA
rnacentral:rRNA from 1 species